rnacentral:misc_RNA from 1 species
AAGUCGUAACAAGGUUUCCGUAGGUGAACCUGCGGAAGGAUCAUUAACAAAUCAAAUAUACACUUGUUGAACUGUAACAUCCUGAUGGUGACAUAUUGCCGUUUGUGAUUGUUUGAUUGUCCUGCUACUCGAUAUCGCCUGUUUCUUCACCUCUCUUUAUCAAGAAGUGAUUGUGUAGGAUCUGAGAAGGGUAGCAGCAGUCAAUAUUUUACAAAUCACGCAAGAGUCACCAUUGGUGCUAUAAAACGCUUUAAUAUAUUUGACUAAGCUUUAUUGAUGACUUUUAAGUAAAGUAUUAACAACUUUUAACAAUGGAUCUCUUGGCUCCUA